rnacentral:rRNA from 1 species
AGCGGAGGAAAAGAAACUAACAAGGAUUCCCCUAGUAACGGCGAGUGAAGCGGGAAGAGCUCAAAUUUAAAAUCUGGCGGUCUACGGCUGUCCGAGUUGUAAUCUAGAGAGGUGUUUUCCGUGCCGGACCGUGUAAAAGUCCCUUGGAACAGGGCGUCAUAGAGGGUGAGAAUCCCGUCCAUGACACGGACUACCGGUGCUCUGUGAUACACCUUCAAAGAGUCGAGUUGUUUGGGAAUGCAGCUCAAAAUGGGUGGUAAAUUCCAUCUAAAGCUAAAUAUAGGCGAGAGACCGAUAGCGAACAAGUACCGUGAGGGAAAGAUGAAAAGAACUUUGGAAAGAGAGUUAAACAGUACGUGAAAUUGUUAAAAGGGAAACGCUUGAAGUCAGUCGCGUCUGCUGGGACUCAACCUUGCUUUUGCCUGGUGUACUUCUCAGUAGAUGGGCCAGCAUCAAUUUCGGGCGCCGGAAAAGGAUUUGAGGAAUGUGGCAGCUUGCUGUGUUAUAGCCUCUUGUCGUACACGGUGCUUGGGAUUGAGGACUGCAGCACGCCUUUUGGUCGGGGUUCGCCCACGCCACGUGCUUAGGAUGCUGGCGUAAUGGCUUUAAACGACCCGUCUUGAAACAC